rnacentral:rRNA from 1 species
CCUACGGGGGGCUGCAGUGGGGAAUUUUGGACAAUGGGGGCAACCCUGAUCCAGCCAUUCCGCGUGAGUGAAGAAGGCCUUCGGGUUGUAAAGCUCUUUCAGCAGGAACGAAACGGUGGCUACUAAUACUAGCUACUAAUGACGGUACCUGAAGAAGAAGCACCGGCUAACUACGUGCCAGCAGCCGCGGUAAUACGUAGGGUGCGAGCGUUAAUCGGAAUUACUGGGCGUAAAGCGUGCGCAGGCGGUUAUGUAAGACAGGUGUGAAAUCCCCGGGCUUAACCUGGGAACUGCGCUUGUGACUGCAUAACUCGAGUGUGGCAGAGGGGGGUGGAAUUCCACGUGUAGCAGUGAAAUGCGUAGAGAUGUGGAGGAACACCGAUGGCGAAGGCAGCCCCCUGGGUCAACACUGACGCUCAUGCACGAAAGCGUGGGGAGCAAACAGGAUUAGAUACCCUAGUAGUC